AAGGAAAAAACAGCAAGAAAACCACGCGUCACUUUCCAUUUUAGAGUUUUCUUCAAAAUGUCGGCGAUUCGUAGACUCUUCUCUCUCUCCCCAAAACCCUAGUCUAUAAUCCUUCUCCGAUAUAAAGAGGACUCUUUUAUUCCGCCGCUUUUAUUUUUAUUUUAAUUUUAUUUUCUGUUUGGGGGAUUUCGAUUUCGUUGAGGAGAUGGAGUGAUAUCCGGCGACAUUUCUCGCAAGGUGACGUCGCCUCUCGAUGUGAUCAAGAUUAGAUUUUUAGGUUCAACACGAGCCCACUUCUUCAUGACCUCUACUUCAAACUGACGUGUGAAAACCAUAAAAAAUAUCACUAUCUUGCAAGCAAUUAAGGAUAUAUGUCACGAGGAAUGUUUACAGGUAAAGCAUAUAUGUAAGGCCAUAACGCCAACAUCACAAAUUCUUAAGCUUGAACUGGUAUUCAACACUCUCAAAUAAGAUGGCACGAUUUAACCUGUAGUCUCUGCUAGACCUGGACCUGGUCAAAGUUCAAAUUUCGCUGCUGCUGCUGCUGCUUUGAAGCCUGCAAAUCUUCAGGUGCUCUGUGCUCUCUAGUGUAUGCAUAUUGAGCCUCAUCUGUCUCAAACUUGUGGUGCCACUUGGAUACCGUCUCAGCAUUGCUCUUGUAUUUGAAAAGAACUGUGCAAUACCAGAUCCCAACAAACACGGAGUUUCUUUUAUAUUGAUGGGCCAAAUCAUGCAAAUUUUACCUUUAAUGCUGGAACUGAUGGUGAACUUCAGCCUUCUGGAAAUUUCGGGAUCAGGUUGUGGGUGGUACCAGCUUGGUCUUGGUUUCAAAGCUUUGCACCAUUCUUAUGCUCUCAUGUUGGGGCGUUUUAAUCUGCCUUUCUCUUUGGUCUUUUCAGUUUUAGUGUGCGGUAUUCUUAUCCGGCUGAAUGUCAAGCUGCUGACUUUCAGACCGGAGGAGAUUUCUUCAAUCUUGGUCAUGGUCUUUUCUGCAAUUUGUAGGUUCUAAUACAAUGGCUUACAGAUCUGCCUUUGUGUCUGUCUUUUUGCUUUCUUAGCAGUAUCCUCAUCCAAUGGUCUGUCUUUUGCAAGAGUACUCACUUUCGUCUCCUCUAACAGAAAUAUUUACAGAUUCUUUUGAAGCAAAUUUAUCGAUCAUUUCGUUUGAAUUAUUCUUCGGCUUCGUAGCUCUCUUUGCCUUCUUUUCCUUCUCUGAUGCUAUAAUGCUUGCGAGUGAUCUGUAUUUCCUGCAAGACGAAGAAGUCAGUCCUCUUUCAAGAAAUACAGAUUGCUGACAAGCAUUAU